rnacentral:rRNA from 1 species
GACGAACGCUGGCGGCGUGCUUAACACAUGCAAGUCGAACGAUGAAGCCGGAGCUUGCUCUGGUGAAUUAGUGGCGAACGGGUGAGUAACACGUGAGUAACCUGCCCUUGACUCUGGGAUAACUGCGGGAAACUGUAGCUAAUACCGGAUACGACCCUCGGAGGCAUCUCCUGGGGGUGGAAAGAAUUUCGGUCAAGGAUGGACUCGCGGCCUAUCAGCUAGUUGGUGAGGUAAAGGCUGACCAAGGCGACGACGGGUAGCCGGCCUGAGAGGGUGACAGGCCACGCUGGGACUGAGACACGGCCCAGACUCGUACGGGAGGCAGCAGUGGGGAAUAUUGCACAAUGGGCGCAAGCCUGAUGCAGCAACGCCGCGUGAGGGAUGACGGCCUUCGGGUUGUAAACCUCUUUUAGCAGGGAAGAAGCGAAAGUGACGGUACCUGCAGAAAAAGCACCGGCUAACUACGUGCCAGCCGCCGCCGUAA